CCUACGGGUGGCAGCAGUGAGGAAUAUUGGUCAAUGGGCGCGAGCCUGAACCAGCCAAGUAGCGUGAAGGAUGACUGCUCUAGGGGUUGUAACUUUUUUUUAUAAAGGAAUAAAGUGAGGCAUGUGUGCUUUUUUGUAUGUAGUUUAUUACUAAGGAUCGGCUAACUUCGUGCGAGCAGGCGCGGUAAUACGUAGGAUCCGAGGGUUAUCCGGAUUUAUUGGGUUUAAAGGGAGCGUAGAUGGGUUGUUAAGUCAGUUGUGAAAGUUUGCGGCUCAACCGUAAAAUUGCAAUUGAUACUGGCAGCCUUGAGUACAGUUGAGGUAGGCGGAAUUCGUGGUGUAGCGGUGAAAUGCUUAGAUAUCACGAAGAACUCCGAUGGCGAAGGCAGCUUACUAAACGGCCACUGACAUUGAUGCUCGAAAGUGUGGGUAUCAAACAGGAUUAGAUACCCCAGUAGUC
rnacentral:rRNA from 1 species